GCCAGGGUGGUGUAGAGGUUUGCGUGUUGGACUGUGACUCUGGAGGUUAGAGUUCGAAUCCCUGUUGGGCCA